rnacentral:sRNA from 1 species
CGUUAUUAACUGGAGCUCCAGGUAAAAAUAAAAAACCUUCCACGUUGUGGUCUCACCUUAAAGCCAGGUCUACAGGAGGAAAAAAUGUUUAUAAACUGAAUUAUUGGAAUUGUAAGCAGUAGCAAUGCAGAUCAAGGCUCCGCCAAAUUUUGUCCCUGAUGACUCCAGGGCUAGGCAGAUUCACGCUCCCCCAGUACAUGCUCGUUACAGGAAGUUUGAUCUUUAUCGAAAUGUUCAACAAUUUUACUUUAUUGACAAUCACGCUAUACAGGUUGCCCAGACAGAGCAUGAUAACUUUACUGAUUUGAUAUAUCAUCUGGUUUACAGUCAGAACCUGCAGGCUGACUUGGAUAAAUGCAGG